rnacentral:rRNA from 1 species
AUUGAACGCUGGCGGCAUGCCUAACACAUGCAAGUCGAACGGGGCAGCAAUGCCUAGUGGCGGACGGGUGAGGAAUACGUAGGAAUCUGCCCUUAAGUGGGGGAUAACCAGGGGAAACCCUGACUAAUACCGCAUGAUCUCUUCGGAGCAAAGAGGGGGACCGCAAGGCCUCUCGCUUCUGGAUGAGCCUACGUCUGAUUAGCUAGUUGGUAGGGUCAAGGCCUACCAAGGCGACGAUCAGUAGCUGGUCUGAGAGGAUGAGCAGUCACACCGGAACUGAGACACGGUCCGGACUCCUACGGGAGGCAGCAUUGGGGAAUAUUGGGCAAUGGUCGCAAGUCUGACCCAGCCACGCCGCGUGCAGGAAGACGGCCCUCUGGGUUGUAAACUGCUUUUGACUGGGAAGAAAAGGCUCUUUGCGAGGAGAGUUUGCGGUACCAGCAGAAUAAGCCACGGCUAACUACGUGCCAGCAGCCGCGGUAACAC